rnacentral:rRNA from 1 species
UGGGGAAUAUUGCACAAUGGAGGGAACUCUGAUGCAGCGACGCUGCGUGAAUGAAGAAGGCUUUCGAGUCGUAAAGUUCUUUUAUAUGGGAAGAUAAUGACGGUACCAUAAGAAAAAGCCCCGGCUAACUACGUGCCAGCAGCCGCGGUAAUACGUAGGGGGCUAGCGUUGUCCGGAAUCACUGGGCGUAAAGGGUUCGCAGGCGGAAAUGCAAGUCAGGUGUAAAAGGCAGUAGCUUAACUACUGUAAGCAUUUGAAACUGCAUAUCUUGAGAAGAGUAGAGGUAAGUGGAAUUUUUAGUGUAGCGGUGAAAUGCGUAGAUAUUAAAAAGAAUACCGGUGGCGAAGGCGACUUACUGGGCUCAGUCUGACGCUGAGGAACGAAAGCGUGGGUAGCAAACAGG